rnacentral:rRNA from 1 species
UACAGAGGGUGCGAGCGUUAAUCGGAGUUACUGGGCGUAAAGCGUGCGUAGACGGCUAUCUAAGUCGGGUGUGAAAGCCCCGGGCUCAACCUGGGAAUUGCGAUGGAGACUGCAAGGCUAGAAUCUGGCAGAGGGGGGUAGAAUUCCACGUGUAGCAGUGAAAUGCGUAGAUAUGUGGAGGAACACCGAUGGCGAAGGCAGCCCCCUGGGUCAAGAUUGACGCUCAUGCACGAAAGCGUGGGGAGCAAACAGG